GGGCACGAGUCCUUCUUUUCAAGGUUAGCAAUCUGCCACCGAGACAGACGCUCGAGGUCCGAAGCCAGAAGAGUUCCUCCACGCACACACUCGCUCCGAAACGUCGGUCCCCUGUUCACGGGGGGCAGCCACGCGCCGUAGGAGACUCUGCGAGGUGUCCUGGGAGCCGGCUGGCGCUGCGCGUGGUCUAGCGCUCUCCCUCUGCGCUCUCCCCUCGACCCUUUUGCUUUUUAUAGCUUCCCACUGUGGGUUUCUUUUUACCUCCGCCCCCAGUUCAAGAGUGACAAAGAGUGAAAACGCUGCUCUCCCCCACCCCUCCUCACGCCCCGUCCCCCUUCCUCUCAGCACACACUGCGCCCCCCCCCCCCCCCUUUCCUUCCUCGGCUUUCGGUCCUGCUUCUCCCGCUCUUCACCCUCCCGCUCCUCCUCCACCCUCACUGCUGAAUCUCGGUUCCACAAUUGGGAGCCUGAGGGCUCCUGAUUUCUGAAGACAGCUUCAGUCUGUGCAGGGACCUUUGAAAACAGGCGGAGGGCAAAUGUGGAAGUGGAGAGAAGCAAGCCACUUCGCCUCAAAACAUCCACCACCCUUGUUUGAGUCCCUGACGCCGAGAGAAGCGCUGGAAAAGCCCUACAGGAGCUUGAGAAAAGAAAAGGAAAUCCCAGGCAAGAAUGAGCAACGGCGGGGAGCUUCCUACAUCCUAGCUCCUGGGAAUUCCAUAAGAAACCUUUCCUGCCAGCCCACGAGUCGCCCAGAUCGGAUUAGCUUCUGUGAAGGUCGAAGGCAGUUACGGGAGGGAUUGGGGAGCGCGGCGCUUGGGGGCGCCAGUGGCAGCCGCGGCACCAAGUGCGGACGCGGUGCAGGACACACAAGCUGUCCCAGGCUAGCUCCAGGCUUGGAGAGGUUUGGCCACUUAGCAUCAAGGCUUCCAAAACAAUUUUAAGAUAGUCUCAUCCUUGCUGGGGGGAGGAGGGAGUGGGGGUGGGAGGAGAGUGGGAGAAGUGGGCGAGGGAAGGCGUUGUCCGGAAGUUGUUGCAUUUCUCCUUUUCAGGCACCGGGAAAUCGAGGCUGUGCACGUCGCGAUUUGGAGUUAAAAGGUGGCUGCUUGGCAAGGAGGAAAAGAGGCUGCUCCCUGUAUAGUCCUCUUUAGAAUUUUCGGACCUGGGUUUCUCAGCUUUCACACCUGGUCCUGGCAUACACUUGCACGUACAGGAGAACAUAUUUAACAUGUUGCCGCCAAGUGGGACCGUUCGUGACUCCUUUAUUUUCCGCUUAAGAGCAUGGAAUUUUAAAGUGUGUGUUUACAGCUGGUUUCUCCCUGGCAGUUCCUGUAUCCCACGUUUCUCUGCCCAGGACCUGUAAGUCUGUCUGCCCUGCAAAGUCCUGUAAUUCUUCCCUUUAACAAAGUUUUUAUAUUUAAAAAAUUUUUUUUAAAAUAAACAAACAGAAAUUAAAAUUUGAUGACCUGUCUAAGUUUUCUCAUAUUUAGAUCAUCUUGUGGCUUCUUAGAUUUUCACAUUUUAAAGGUGUUCCCACUUUUUAAAU
rnacentral:lncRNA from 1 species